UAUAUAAUAAUAUCUUUUAUAUAUUAAAUUGCAAAUUUAAAGAUUUAAAAUAAUUAUAUAA
rnacentral:tRNA from 1 species